CGCGGUGCUUGGCGAUGGAGGUGAUGAAGUUAAAGAGGGUUUUUAUCUGACAUUAGAAGUAGUGAUUUAGAGGUGAGGUAGAAAGGAAAUUUGGAUGAAAUCCUCUUCUAAUGAUAUUUCCAAUAUUCCAAUUGAUUCAGCGUAGGGUUUUGUACUCUUUCUUACGGUUACAAUGUACAAGAAGAAUGUUUCACCAAAUUGUAUUCUUUGAUAGGAUAUAUGAUAUAUGGCUCUCUUAUUCAAAAGCAAGUUUUGCAAAUUAAUUGACUCACUUUUUUUGAAUCAAUUGUAGACACAUGUAUGUGACCUGUGUUUUUUUUUUAUAAGCAUAUGUAUGUGAUCUGUGUUAUCAAAAAAGACAUAUUAGUGAGUAUAAGAUGUGAUUUAAACUCACCCAUUUACAUAAUUUAGUUUGAUUUAGCAUAUUAUAAAAAAUACUAUUGGUCUCUAUGAGUGUGAUCAAACAAACCUGCUAAAUACAUAAGGUCACAAAAUCAAUUGCUUUUAAUAGCUUCUAACAUCGGAUUUGUAGGAAAGAUAAACGAACCUAUAAAAUUAUUUUGUGCAGUUUAUAUAAAUUAGAGGCAUAUUAAAACAAACAUUAUUGGUCACUAUGAGCAUGAUAUCUUUUAUUAGUAUUUGGGUCUUUGAAGGCUCUACUAUGAAAUUCGAUUCGAUGUCACUGAGCCAUUGCUAUUUGUCUUUUAGAACCAUAUUAAUUGCGCAAAAAAAUGGUAAAAAUUAAAUUUUAUACACGUUACGCGUCUUUGAAGACUCUACUAUAAAAUUCGAUGUGACUGAACCAUCCAACAAUAGGGUGGUUCACUUUUGUAUUAUACUUAUUAUGAUUUGGCUUUUAAGUUUGUUUGCUCUUUUGGAACAUUGAUGUUUGUCCUUUAGACCCAUAUUAAUUGCACACAAAAAAAAGAGUAAAAAUUAAAUUUUAUACAUUUGACGGGUCUUUGAAGGCUCUACUAUAAAAUUCGAUAUGACUAAGUCAUCCACUUAAUUAUGUUUAAUUUACCAUGAUCAAAAACAUCCAUGAUUGACAACAUUCAUGAUUGACAUAUAAAUGGUGUUCCGCCGAACCCGUGCAGCGCACGGGCGGCCUGGUGUUCCUUGAUCAAGGAGCAUAUGAGCUACAAGGAUCAAGGAGCCAUGGUUAAGGGAUCCCUCCGAGUAUCGAUAUAGAUUCGUAAUUUUUGUAUCCUUUUUUUUUUGUGAUAAUUUUUGUAUCCUUCUAAUAGUNNNNNNNNNNNNNNNNNNNNNNNNNNNNNNUAGAGUUUCUUAAUUUUUGCGUUUUAGGCCAUCUUCUAACAGAGAGUUUCUUAAUCUCUGUGUCAUAUAAGUUUCAUGAUACUUCGAUAUUUGAGCAUUCACAUAGAUUCGUAAUUUUUAUGCGUUCCUGAUACAAAAGUUUGUAAUUUCUGCAUGCUGCUUAUCUAAAUUUUUAGUUUUCGCGCCAUAAUUAUCAACAAUGGUUCGUACUUUUUUUGUGCUAACCUAUCAUAAUUUGUACACUUUAUUACACUACAUGAUAUAUCCAUAUUGCACCAUAUCCUUUACAUCCAUGAUUGAUAUAUAAAUGAUGCUCCCCCGAAGUAAUUUAUGUAUGCUUAUGACUAGCUUCCUCGGCUCAUAGCAUCCAUGAUUGAUAUAUAAAUGAUACCCCCUAAGAAAUUUCCAUAUGUUUAUGACUAGCUUCCUUGGCUCAUAACAACCAUGAUUGGUAUAUAAAUCAUACUCCGCCGGAUAUGGGGCAUAUUGUAGCAACUAUUUUAGGUAAAGUUGUCGUGAAAUUGACGAAACAGGGAGCAUCCGAGACAUUCUUUCCAUUGUGUGGCAUACCACCAUCUAAUCCUUCUUCGUUAAUUGUUUGUAUUGGGGCUAUCCCCGAUCAUUAUGUCUAUGUCAAGUUGAAAGAUGAUUGUCCCAUACCUCCAACAUGUAUUCAGUGGAAGAGGUAUUGUUCUCCGGAUGCUAUUGGUUGGGAGUCUUUUUUUGUUGCUCGACACGCCAAGUUUGAUAAACUCAUGAAGGAAAUAAUAGUUGAUAAUAAGAAGAAGAUUCGAGUUGGUUCUAACUCGGAUGAUCCAAUUGAACUUUGAUUUGAAUGUUAGUUAAAUUAUGUAAUUCCCGUGUGUUUAUGAAUAUCCAAUUGAACUUUGAUUUGAAUGGUAGUUAAAUUACGCAAUUCCCAUAUGUUUAUGAAUAAUUUUCUUUACCGAUAAUAUCCAUGAUUGGUAUGUGUAAUGAUACUCUCUCUGAUGAUUUUCGUGUGCUUAUGAUUAAUUUCACUAUGAGGUUGCAUCCAUGAUUGAUAUACAAAUGAUAUUCCGCCAAACCCGUGCAACGCACGGGUAGCCAUCUAGUGAAUAUUGAAGGAAAAAAAAAAAAGCAAAAAAAUACUGUAAAAAGAAUCAGUAAUUUUGCAUUGUCCAGCAAAAUUGCAAUCCUUAUGCAGUUAUGCCUAACUUUAUCUAAUGAAACUUUAUCUGUUUUAAAAUAAAACACCGACCUUGCUAGUUGCUAGGCCAAUUUCUGAGUGUUGAAAAUUGUAAAGGAAUUUAUGUUGUAGCAGUCUGUCUCGUAAGUAGAAGGACUACUCAUGGGAUAUUGUGCGCAGUUAAUACAUGAAAUGGGGUGAAUUUAUAAUUAUAAUAAGUUAUAUUGUCAUAAUUAAUACUAACUAGUAUAACUUACCCGUGCAAUUACACGGAUUAAUGUUCAAUGAAAAAUAUAAAUUAUUAAAAUUUUAAUAUUUUGUGAUUUUUUAAUUAUCUAUAAUUUUUUUUAUUUAAUGUAAUUUAUUUAGAUAUGAAAAAUAAUAUAAAUUUUACAUAUUUUAAAGGGGAGGGUGUAUAUUAAUCUUCCACUUCUCGUUCUCAACUUACAUGUUAUUUUUUCUCUCAUAGACCUCUGCAUCAGUUUCUGUAAGGAUCUCAUCAACAUAUUAAAUAAAUUGAAUAAAUAAAUUUAUUCUUCGUCUUUAAAUAUGCUUUUUAGAUCCAAUAGAAAAAACAUAUAGGCCAUAGAGAUGAGAAAUGAUAAAAAACUAAAUAAGAGAAAAGAAUAUGUAAAAAAAAUAAUUCACAAAUUGGUUGAAAAACAAUCCUAGAUGAGGGUGAUGAGAAAAAAUAGAUGAAAGAAAGCUGAGAGCAAAAAUAUUUUUAGUCAAUUUUGGCAAUGUUUCUAAAAUUUUGUUUUAUCAUCAAAUCAUAUUCCUUGAGUGUAGCUAUCUUAUAUACCAAAGUUUGACAUAAUAUUUUUNNNNNNNNNNNNNNNNNNNNNNNNNNNNNNNNNNNNNNNNNNNNNNNNNNNNNNNNNNNNNNNNNNNNNNNNNNNNNNNNNNNNNNNNNNNNNNNNNNNNNNNNNNNNNNNNNNNNNNNNNNNNNNNNNNNNNNNNNNNNNNNNNNNNNNNNNNNNNNNNNNNNNNNNNNNNNNUAUACAAAUAACUAAUAUGAAUUCAAAAACUAAAAUAAUACGUAAGAAAACUACAUAGUGAGGUACAUAUAAAAUUUCAUAUAUAAAUAAUGAUGAACAUAACACUAUUGAAAAAAUACAUCAUUUGAUCAUUUUGUUGAUUCAUUCAUUAAGAGAAUACAUCAUUGAUAUUUCAAGUUGUAUCCAACUCAUAAUUAUUGAUAAAGCAAGAUAAGAAAAAAAAAGACUCCAAGUUUGAUCUCAAUUCAAUCCAUUUUGUCAGAAUGUGAUGCAUUGAUCUUAUUGUCUUUCAAUGAUUUCUGUGUCACAAAUAAUAAAUUGGAUUAAUAAAUAAAAAUAUAAAUAUAAAGACCAAAAGAAAAUAAUCUAAAUAGUAAAAAAAAAAAACAAUAUAAGAAAAAUCGAACAAAGAAAAAAUAGUAAAGAAAUUUUUAAAAACUGACAAUAGACAAAAAAAUUGUGAGUAUUGAGAGAGAUGAAAUCUAUAACAAUAUAUAAAGGGGAUAGGGGAGUUUGGGUUGACUUUUUCUUUGGUCUAUUUUGCCCUUCACUACAUAUGAGUAAUUUUGUNNNNNNNNNNNNNNNNNNNNNNNNNNNNNNNNNNNNNNNNNNNNAUUCCAUUUUUUUUAAGAUAAUAAAAUAUGAAGAAUUGGCUUGUUAAAAAAAAUGAAGAAUUAUAUUUUAAAAUAAAUUUCGAAUUUUAAUUUUUAUUAAUAAAUUGAAUGUGAAUAAUUUUUUUAUCAAAUUAAUGCUUAUAUUUUAAUAAAAAUAUAUUAGUUUUUUAGCAUAAUUCUUUUUAUCACAUAAUAAGAAUUUGUUUUCGUAUGUUAAAAAAAUUGGGGUCUUGUUUAAAAAAAAAAUUGGGGUCUUACCAUUUUAGAAUAUUAGUACUCUAAGUUGUUUGAUUGCCUCCUAAUCUCCUAAUAAUAAUGUAUUGAAUUCUUACCAAAAUAAAUAAUGUUUUGAAUUGUUUCCAAAUAUAGAAUAUAAAUUGACUACUCAUUUAUUUUCAUAUUUUUUGUGCAUGUAUAUAAUAUAAAAAUAAUUUGUUGUAAAACUACUCAUUUAUAUUAAAGGUAAUUUAGACAAAUGCACUCAAAUAAUAAUACAGUUUUUUUUUAUUAAUCAAAUAAUAAUACACUUAAAAAAUAAGAAUUGAAAAUAUUGUUGAUAUUUUUCAAACGAAAAAAAAAACCUCAACAUAUAAUGUUGUUCAAAUUAAUUUAUAAGAAUAAGAAAUUUCUAUAUAUAGUUAUAAUUUUUAAAUUUGAUUUUUGUGAUUAAGCCCGAUUAAUAUAUCAAUAAUUGUCUUUCUGAUUUUGAUUUUUGUUAUUUAAAUCUGAUUAAUAUAGUAAUGGUUGCCUUUUUAAAUUAACCAAAGGUCAAAUAAAUAAAAUUAGAGAAAUGUUCUAAUAAGUCGCCACAUAGGAGAUUAGUAAAUAGUAGAGUGACACCUAAUCAAGUGAUCAAAUAGAAUGACACAUAAGAAAAGUACUAUGAGAGAGAAACUCUCAAACAUAUAAAUAAUAGAUGACAACCAUUAUAUUUAUGACAACUCAAAUGGGUCAAGUAACUCAAUCUUAUGAAAUGGGUAGCCAAGUUGUCACCCUUUUUCUAUACAUCUCUAAUUUAAGCAUUAUAUUGGUACGAGAUUUCCACCGUCGUAAGUGAUGACAUAUGGUUAGCAGUAAGGUACUCAUAUCGUUCAAUUUUACAUAUAAUUAUUUAUGAGAAAAAGGAAUAUGCAAUAAGUUUAUACUGUCAAUAUCAAUCUUGUUUUUCGCACAUCACUUCAUUUCACCCCACUUUCUUGAUAUGACAUGACAAAAUAAUAACUGUUUAUGAAUGAUCGUGUAAAACUAUUUUACAUUGUCGCCGUUGCAUAUCCAUUAAACUCAUUACUUACAAGUGUGCCCAUAUUUAUAAUAUGUGUGCUACCAUGACCCAUUAGUUUUGGUAGGCACAUGAUGAGCAUGAAUUGAAUUGUCCUCUCCUCCUUACAUAUAACUCAUUCCGGAGAAGGUAUGUAAGUUCAACAUUCUCCAUGACUAGGUUUAGGUGUUCAAAUUUUAUAAUAAUUUUGAUUUUGAUUUGAUUUGAUUUGAUUUUGAUUUUGAUGGGAUGGAAUUGGACGACUUUGUAAAGGAAAAGUCACUGUAACUUUCUCUAAAGGACUUGUACAAAGUUGACUUAUUUGUCGUAUUUACUAAACUACUAAAGAACUUGACAAGUACUACUUGACAAAUUCCUCAUUUUUCUUCCUAGAUUGUACAAAGGUGUUCGUCGUAUUUACUAAACUACUAAAGUACUUAACAAGUAUUACUUGACAAAUUCCUCAUUUUUCUUCAUAGAUUCUACAAAGUUGAUAUGAUCUCGUUUCCUAUAAACUCACUUGGUAGAAAUAUCACAUUAUAUACAUAGGAGUGAGAGUUUAAAUUUCUAACACUCCAAUUAUUUAUUUUAAAAGUAAAAUUCUAACCACUAAAUUAUUUAACUAAAAAGACAUUGAGUGUUUUGAUUAUAUAAUUGGGAAUGACCUUAGUUUCUUACGUUACAUAAUUAAUUAAUACAAUACAAUAGUCAAAAAGAUAUUGUUCAAACCUAAGUUAUGUUCAGCUUGUUUUCAUCUCAAUCCUUAUCCCAUGACCUACAUAUUAAUAUUAAAUAUAUGUCAUACAUAAAAGUGCUUCCGUACAUACCCGAAUAUAGGACAUAUACAUUAACAACGAAUUAACAAACACAACUCUAAAUUUCAUUAAUUCUUCCGUGCCAUUUCUUUGAUAUUCAACAUCAUGGGAAAUCAACCUAAGACUGCCAUAAUCGGCCCUCAAUAUUGUGCUCCAGGUAUGAACCUUAUGACAUUUUCUUAUAACUCUACACGUUUGAUAUUAUUAUGUAAUAGCUGAGCUGAUAGAGACAUCAUAAAUAAUAUGCAGAGACCGAGUACGAAUUUCUGGUACUACUACUCUUUUUUUUUUUNNNNNNNNNNNNNNNNNNNNNNNNNNNNNNNNNNNNGUACAAUUGGUACUCCUACUUAUUCACAUUAAAAAUGAAAUUAUAGCCUAUAUAUACACUUAAUAAAAAAAAAUCACCUCAUUUGAGCUAGGAAUCCUUUAAAUCUUAUUUGAUUAAAUGCAUCAAUAUUUAUAUCCUUUUAACAUUUAUUUUGGUUAAUUUGUUACAGCUACACAUCCCGUUGAUUUGAUAAUCACAAGGGAUAUAAGUUUGAGAGAUAAUUUCACUAUCAAAGAUAUCAACAAAAAUGUUGUUUUCAAAGUUAAAAGUCCUCUUGCAACCAUUCUAACACCUCGCCAACACAGAUUCUUAUAUGAUGCUAAUAGAAACCUCAUUCUCCAUCUUCAAGAAUCGGUUUGCUCAUAAAUAUUCAAGAUUCAUCACUAUUUUAUUUAUUUGUUUAUGUUGUGAAUUUAUAUUACCUUUUCUCCUAUUUUCCCCUUAUUGAUAAUCUGUAUCAAGUAUUAUAACAUCUAAAAUUUUCAUAUAUACAAAAAAACUCUAAGUUUCUCGUAUGAAUAAGAGUAAAAUCUUCAUUUUUUUUAAGACUCGGUAUUUGAUCCAAGAUCGAUAUAAAACUUGCAUUAAUUUGUGUUAUCUUCGCUUAGUUAGAUGAUUUUUGUUAACCUCUAUUAGAAACAAUUGGCAUUUUGGAGCUGCUUGCACUUCUUGUGUUUGUGUUAGCACUUCUUGUGUUAACUUCUCUUCCCUUAGGGACUAAAAACACAUGAAUAAUGAGUUAUCAUCCUUUUCAUUUUUUGUUUUCUCCAUUUUUGACAUUAUUGAAGUUUUGUAAAUAUAAAUGCAAUAAUGUGACAUAUGGCGUACCAAAUAAUUUAAUAUAUAUUAUAAAACUCUUCAAAACAAUAAUAAUGGAGAAGAAUAUUGAAGAGUAAAAAUGAAUAGAAUCCUAACUCCUCUUUAACACACACAUUUUAACACGCCAUCUUUUAUUGGUUAAAAUUCAUAUGAGUCUCAUAAAAAAAAUGUAGGCUCCAUAUAAAUUUUAUGCGACCCAUAUAUAAAUGUUAACCAAUCAACGAGAAUGUGUUGGAAUAUGUGUCUUAAAGAGUGUGUUGCUAGUACUCAUCAAAACAUAUUUAACUCUAAUUUAUAUUUUUACAUUUUAUUAAUUACCUAUGAGUAAUACAUGUUUUGGAGUAACAUCUUCAUGUUAACAACAAUAAUGCAUCAAGAAAAAAAACCAAAAAAAAAAAACAAUAAUGCAUCAAGAAGAGAAUAAGAAGAGAACAAUGGAAAUAGGUACACUGGGGUCCAAUACUAUUAAAGUUGUAUUAGCGACUCAUUGUUAAGGUUCUCACACUAUUGAUUUAACAUGUCAUCAAGGAUGACGCAAUGUGAGAAUUUGUUGGGUUCAAUUAAGUGGUUUGUCGCAGAUUAAUUAUGAAUAAGCUAAAUGUUGUGGAAAAAUAGUAUCUUUCAUAAUAUGUAUACAUGAAAAAGUCGCAUGUGUUAAGGUUUUAUGUAAAAAUGUGACAUCUUCCUCAUUGUAAUUUUUAAUAUUGGUUUGUUGUUGUUCACUGAUUCACCACUGAACUUCUUCACAAGUGGUAUUAAAGUCUGGUUUCGCUUUGUGGGAGAGGAGUAAGAUCUUGAUAUUGGAUCAAUGUAUCAAAAGUCUUCAUGUUAGUGGAGAUAUGUCUCGUUGGUUACUGCCGGUGCAAGUAUAGAACGUAGGAGUCUCACAUUUGAGGAAAAAAUUGUUGAAUUUAAGUGUGAAGAUUAACUUUUAACAUUUACUACUUUUUAGUUUAAAAUAUAGAUGGUGACUUCUUUGUUUUUGCAGCUGCUUGUAAAGGAUAGUUGGAAAGCAUUUAGAGGUGAAAGUAUAGAACCAAAGCAUCUAAUCUUUAGAAAGAAGAGAUCCUCUUUACUUCAGCUAAAGACAAAAUUAAAUGUGUUUUCGGCAAGUAACAACACAGGAGUUUGUGACUUCACUGUCAAAGGAAGUUUUUUUGGACUGUCUUGGAAGGUUUACAGUGGCAAUUCCAAUAUUGUUGUUGCUAAGGUAUAUUUUUUAACACAUUUACUUUUAUGAAAAACGUUAGAAAAUAAUUAGUCAAAUAUGCAUGUCUCUCUACUAAAUAGAUGAGGUGACAAUCCUCUCAAGUUCAUCCUCCUCGGUUGCCCGUACUGUCAUCAUCUCAACUGACUAUUGAUGUUUUUUUAAUCUAAAAUUGUAAGUAUAUAUUGUUAUAAUUAUUGCAGAUAAUAAAGCUUGGAGGUAUAUUUAGUAGGGAAAAGUUCAUAGUCAACAUAUGCCCGAACAUCGAUUGUGCAUUCAUUGUGGCUCUCAUUGUGUCACUCCCCAAAUGAAAUUAAACGUAUCUUCAUCGCUAUUUUUUAAAUGUGUAUAUUUUUUUUCUGCAAUUGUAAAGAUAAAUAAGGAUGAAAUAUUGCAGUAUUCCUUUUUCUCUUGUUCAUUUAUUAUGUGUUACGAGAUGUUAUGAAUGUGAUGAUAUUAGUUUAUUUGAAUUGUGAUGCUUUGUUGAGAAAAAUAAUAAUAAAUAUGAUACUGUGUUUACUUUGUGCUUUUUGAACAUGAUUUGAAAAAAAUACACAUAGAAUUAUUUCAUCUCAAAAUAAUUCAGAGAGAAAUAUUAGAAUAAAAAAUUAUGACACAUAACAAAAUAAAAAUGAAUUAAUUACUGUUUUGGUCCUUUAAAGAAAUUUUUGAUUUCAUUUUGGUCCCUUAAUGAAUAAACGUUCUGCUUGUGUCCCUUAAAGAUAUCUCCAUUUGCCACAAAGAUCCCUUCUAUUAGUUUUUUUGCAAGAAAGUUAAGUGAAGCAUAGGUGGUACCGUGACGGUCUGAAGUGGCAUUAUUGAUGGCUUAUGCGACAAUAGGGAUACUAAUUCGACUCAUUCUUAUAUAAAAUUUGAUUUUUAUGAUUUGGAAACAAAAUUAGGAUUCCUCAUCUUCACCUCUUUCAGUACCCAUCAUCUUCAUCUUCGCCCAGAAAUAUCAUCACCAUGUUCUUCCCAUCAAACCCAAAAUUUCCAAUUUGAUUAACAUUCCCUCGAUCUAGGUCCAUCAUGUUUCCUCAACGCAUUCCAGUCAAUCCCUAUACUCUCCAACUCAUUGCUCCCAAUUGUCCUCCUCGUCAACACCGUCCUCUCAGAAUUUGACGUCGGAAACAUACUCUUCUUUCGUCGUCGAGAGUAAACAUACAGAACUAGUGGUUUAGCAUAAACCAUCGUAGAAGACGACGUCAUUUUACACAUCGUUUUGUCAUCAACAUCAUCAAUCAGUGAAUCAAUUUCGCAAUUAUUGAACUGGAUCUCGUUGUUGCGUUUUCGAGCUUUAACCUUCUUCGACAUGCAAGGUGGUGUUGAAGAGUAGAGAUGAUUGAGAGGAAGGUAACAAAUGUGGUUAUUCUUGCGGAUCAAAAGAGGAUUGAGGUAUGCAUGGUUAACAAAUGCAAAAAAAAUAAGGGGCUGCAUUGUUGCAAGAGUUUGAGAAGGUUGUGAGGGUUGAAGUUUUUAGUUUUUGUUUGCAAUAAUUUUGGGGUUGCAAAUUAUGAGUUGUAGUUUCUCCCUUCAUUUUUUUAAUGUAAAUAUGUCUCUUAUGCAACAUAACAUUGUCCCGUCAAUAGUUACAAUGCCGCUAACAGAAGGACAUUUGUGGCAAAUGGAGAUAUCUUUAAGGGACGCGGGUAAAAGUUUAUUCAUUAAAGGACAAAAGUGAAACCAAAAAAUUCUUUAAAAAAUCAAAAGAGCAUGCAAAAGCUUAUCGAUUGAUAACUGAGACAUACAAAUACACCGAACUUAAAGAGUAUUUCGUGGCACAGGUUAGUUACUAGUAUAAUUAAUCACUUUUUUUUUUGGUACAUUAAUCACAUAACUUAAUAUCAUUCAAGAUACAACAGUCAUUUAUAACUUUCGUUCCCCCUCUACUCCUUUUUAUAGGCAAUUAAAUUUUGAUAUAUAUUCAUAACUUUAGUGUUACAAAACUAUAAAUCCUAGUAAUUAGCUGUGAUUUAACCGUACCAUAUAAAUAAAUGGGAACGGUAAGUAGACUUAAUUAGGCAAAAGAGAAACCGAUAAAUAUAAUAAUUAACAGAGUUUUGUUUUUAUCAAGUUAAUUAUUAGAGUUUUUUUUGGACAAAAUCAUCCUACACGUUUUCUCCAAAAAUAAUUAUCAUACGUAUUGUUAAAGUUAAUGCGUAUUUAGUCCCUAUGUUCUUCACACUAUUUUUUAAUAAUAUUUUGGCACAUGGUCAAAUAACAAUGUAAAAAAAUAUUUAAUUUUCUAGUUUCCAAUGUUUUCAUCCGCACUCUAUAGUGAAUUCUUUUCUAUUUGUUGUUUGUAGAUUUACGCUCCAUUUUUUUAUGGUGAAAAUUUAUGUUGCAACAUAAAGGAGCUUAUCAUUUUUGAAAUACAACUUUUUAAAAAAAUUAUGAUUUUGACUAUGUUGAUCUUCAAUAAUGUGUGUUUAUGUUAUAUGAUGUCAAAAUUAGUAUUUAAAUUUAGAAAAAACGAAUAUAAAAAACUUAUAAUAUUUUGAAAAACGAUUUUAGAAAAUUUAUUUUAAAAAAUACAAAGAAAAAAUUCAUUUUUUUAAAUCUAAAACAAACAUGCCCAUAACAUCGUCUACUAUUAUUUGAGCAGUAUAAUAUGUUGGUUUGUAAAAGUUUUGAACUUAUUUUGAAAAUAUCCACGUAAAAACUUAUAUAUGGCAGGACUCUCGUUGCUACAGAGCGUUCGAAUCAACUGAGCUAAAUAUUAUUAGAUAUUAUUUGAUUGUCUGUGAGCAUUUAUGGUGUUUGCAUUUUAUCUACAUAUUAAUUUUUUGUUUUACUUGUUUAAAUAUUCGAAUAGUCCCUCCAAAUAUCAAAAAUUUUAGUUUAAAGUCACCAUAAAAAUAUUUUGUUUUCAAUCGUCAUGAAUAUACAACUUUUAAUUUUUUAAUCUUGUUGUUUUAUUUUAAUCCCUACUGAUCGAAUUUAUUCGAAUGAAAUUAGGUCAUGUAAUAUGUAAAAUUUUGAUUUUGUUUCUUAAAAUAAGAACUAAAGUGAAUUUUACAGCAGUCAAUUUUUAAACGGAUUUUACAAAAGGACAUAUUAAUUAACGAAGAAUAAUAAUAUUAUAUUUUACAAAAAAUAAAUAAAUAAUAUCACGGCUUAAAUCGAUAGGUUGGUCUCAUAUUCCACAUUUUAAUUUGUUGCACGCAAAAGAAAGUAAAAAGAAAUGGAAAGUUGACAUGUUCGUGGUAUAUAUGACAUUUAACAAGUCAUAUAUAUUUGGAAUGAACUAAGUUAAGUUUCUUGCCGUACAAGUCAGAAAAUGUUGUUUCAAACCUCACUAUAUAUAUUUAUUUUUUUGAUAAUGUACUUUUCAAAGAUAGUAUAUGGUUGACAAUUUCAUAUCCUAUCACAUACUCAGGCGAUGUCAUCGGACCUCAAAAUUUUGAGGGCCUCAACUCAAAAUUUUGAGGUCCUAUAAUAUUAGUUAUAUAUUAUUUAUACCUACAAAAUAUCAGAUGUAUAUUAAUUGAUUGAUUUUUAGGCCCUAAAGUAAUAGUUAUAUAUUGUUAAUAUUCAUAAAAUAUCAUAUGAGUAUCAAUAGAUUAGUUAACUAUACUCGUAAAUAUAGUUCUAGUCCAUUUUAAUCUUUGCAUAAAAUUUAAUGUUAGAUUAUGAUGUUCCUUUUUGACGUUAUAUGCAAAGAUAAUUGUUUUGUAUUCUUUGUCCCAUUUGAUUUAAUAUUGGUAAUUUAUAUGUUUACAAGAAUAAGAGUGAUUUUUUUUUGGUAUUAUAUACAAUUUAAAUCGAUAAUUAUUUUUUUUAAAAAAAAUAUUUUUUUAUUAAGAGACCACUUUUAUAUUUUGCACAGAGCCCUCUAAAACUUGAAGACGACACUGACAUACCACACAUAUAAAUAAGCUUCGGUGCCACACAUAUCCUAUCAUUCUACAUUAACAACUUCAACAAAUUAAAUCUUCAUGGCAAAUCAACCACCACCCUCUACUACUGCCAUCAUUGGCCCUCAAUACUGUGCUCCAGGUAUGAAUUUACCAUGUUUGUCAGACAUUUAAGUUGGUCAAGAGACAUGAGUUUAUCUUAAAAUUUAUCAUAUAAUGUAUUUCUAGUUAAGAGUUGUGUUAUAUUAUAAACUAGUAGGAUAGGGUAAAAAAAAAAUCGAUAUGAUAAGUAUCUAUAUUGUCUCUAUAUAGCUUAUUUUUAGCUAGUUCAGAAUUAUAUCAUGUGAAUCGUACAGAUUCUUAUUAUUAAAUCAAUCUCCAAAAGACGGAUUUCUAAUAGUGUUGACUAUAAAUAGAAUUUUUGUAAACAAGUAGAAUUAUUUCAUGGAAUAGUCCCCGUGACUUAAAUCGAGAUUGGUAGGGACAUCAUAUUUUAUAUGCAGGAAUCGGAGUUCGAAAUCUUUAGAUUUACCAAUUUAAAAAGAAAAAUAAAUAAAAAAAUCUCACGUUCAGAGAUAAUUCAGGAUUGAAGUAUUUUUUAAGAAUUAAAGAGUGGGAAAAGAAGCUUUCAACUCUAUAGUAAAUCACCCUAAAUUGAUUGAUACAAGACUUGUAUUUUCAUUGAAUAAAUCUUUGUUUGUCUAUAAAAUGCUUUACUGUUUUUAUAAAAUAAAUUAAAAAAUGAUUUAUUAAGUUGUACUAUUAUAUCCUAAUCCAAGUCAUGUCUAACAACAUGAAAGAAUGGUUCAAGUAUCUUUAAAUCUUAAUUCUAAGAUGCAUCAAUAUGUAUAUCUAUCAUUUUACUAUUUUUUUGUUUGUGAUUUCAGCUACACAUUCAAUUGAUUUGAUAGUCAUAAGGGAGAAAUUUAGCUACAACUUCACUGUUAAAGAUCUCAAUGACAAUGUUGUUUUCAUAGUUAAAAGUUCUCCUGAAGUAUUCUUAGCAACCCGUGAAGACCGAUUUUUAUACGAUGCUAACGGAAACCCCAUUCUCAAUCUACGUACAUCGGUUCGUUCAACAACUAUUCAAAAAUCACCCAAUUUUCUUGGUAAUGAGUACUCUUUCUGUGGAGUGAAAUGUACAAACAAAUAAUUCAAAAAGUCAAAUAUAUAUAUAUUUGUUCUAAAAUUUAGACCGAAUAUAUUUGAAUUUUUGAAUUAUUUUUGUUUAUAUUUCAUUUCAGAGAGAGACUAAAUGAUAGCGACUACUUUGUUUUUUGCAGCUACUCGCAGCUGAUGAUAAUUGGAAAGCAUAUAGAGGUGAAAGUAAAGAACCAAAGGAUCUUAUCUUUACUAGGAUGCCUUCUGAAUACAUGCAAAUAAGAACCAAAUUAAAUGUGUUUUUGGCAAAUAACAAUGAAGUUUGUGACUUCACUGUCAAAGCAGAUUUUUCUGGACAAUCAUGGAAGGUUCUCAUAGGCAGAUCCGACAAUGUUAUUGCUCAGGUUUAUACUACCUCCUAUUAAAAUUGUUGAUUUUUUAGAUUUAUUGAAUAAUUGAUAUAUCUUAUCUAUAUUAUAGACUCAAUACGUCAAUUAUUUAAUAAAUCUAAAAGAGAGUUGUUUAUUUUAUUUUUUUUAUAAAAAAACCGAAGUAAUAUUUAUUAUUGUUAGAAAAGAGAGUUAAAUUGAUUAUGUUAAAUUUGAUUUUGUUAAAUUUUGAAAAUGAAUCUUAAGCAAGGUGAUGUAAAUGGAUAAUAUUUUCAGAAAGAAAAUUUAGGGUGUAAAAAGUAAAGAGUGUGGUGCAAAAUGUACUCCUUAUAGAGAUAAUUGUUGCUUUUUUAAUCAGAAAAGUAAAUAUAUUACAAGAAACAUAUAUUAGGCCUAACUAAGCUAUCAGGUUUGAUAUAGUGGUGAAAGAUUUCAUAGUAUGGAUGCAUGAACUCCUAGAUUCGAUCCUCAUUGCUAUUGUAAAGCUAUGUCUAACCCUUUUUUUUUGUUAUAAUGGAAGUAGAGAUGAUCGAACCUAAUAUCUCAUGCAUACUACCCAAAUCUCUUACCACUAGACCGAACCUAAUAGAUUAACUAGCUAUGCCUAACCUUAUCGUCAGUAUAUGAAAUAUGAGUUUGAUUUUUUAUUAUUUUUGGUUUGAGAGUUUGAUUUUAUUUUUUUUACAAUUGAGUUUGAAAUUUUUUAAUCCAUCAAACAUGGCCUUUUUUAAAGUAGUUUAUAGUAAUUAAAGUUUCAUAUUUUAAAAUGAAUUAAUGGAUGUAUAUUAAAAUUUAAAUCUCAAUUUUUGUAUAUUACAUGAAAUAUUUCUAUCAACUAUAUCAUAUUUACAAAAACAAUAUUAUAUUAACUAGAUAACACAGAGAAUGGCCAUAGCAAUCCUAAUAACAUAUAUAGAAAAACUACAUCCUUCAUUUCUUAGAUCAAAAUAUUAUUUGAUCUAAAAUUGUUAUUGUUAUUACUGCAGAUAAAUAGGAAGCCUCGUGCUUUAUUCAGCAGGGAAAAGUUCAUGGUAACCGUGUGCCCCAACAUCGAUUAUGCAUUCAUUGUGGCUUUAACUGUGACCCUAACAAGUUCAACCAGAAAAAGCUCUAUUUUUUAAUUUUUUCUAUACUAGUUUUUUUUUUAUGUAUAUAUACUAGUAUGUUAUUAUGUUAUUAUUUUUUAAAACUUUAUAUGAUAUUGUAUAAUAUUUUUUUUUUCACUCAGCUCAAUAUAUUGACCCUUAAAAACACUUAAGUUUAUAUUGUUAAUUAUGUACUUUUUUUUUGUUCUUUAAAUGUAAGGAUAGUUAAUGUGUAAUACUUUUAAUAAAGUUACUCUUUGUAUGUAUAAAUAUAUGUUCAAUGUGGUCUUUUUUAUCUUUCAAAACAGUUAGUAGUAUUAAUAAAAAUUAUAUCUAGCAGUUCCCGUGAACUUAGCUCAGUUGGUAUAGGGACAUCGCACUAUAUGUGCAGGAGCCCAGGUUAAAUCCGAGAUACUCCACUUAUUCACCUUUAAGGUGAAUUUUCUAACUACUAAGCUAUUUAGAAAAAAAAAUUAUAUCUAGCAACCUAUAUGCAUAUUGAUAAGCUUCUCUCUAAGAAUGAGAGCUGAGAACCUCCCACUCCAUAUUCAACAAUAUCCUAAUAUUCUUCACCGAAUAACCCAUACCACAGUUGAUUGUUUUUCCUAAUACUAAUUAAUAAUUAAAAGAGUUUCUUUUUUUAUCAUGUGCAAAUUUUGCACAUUUUAAGAAGUUCAAAAUAAUUUAAGUAAAAAAAAAAGGUUCAAAAUAAUAAUUACUUUUUAAUAAAAAAAUUACUAUUUUUGGUUAUUUUAAUAUACAUGCAAUACUGCACAUGUUAAACAAACUCUAACUAAAAAUACAAAUAUUUAGAAUCCCUUAUUGAAAAAGCAAAACACAUUAUAGUUUAUCCACAAGUGUUAAUUCAAUUGACAGAGUAAAUAUCGUUAGGCCGAAAGUCAUCGCCUAUACUUGUAACCAAAAAAAUCUUUCAAAACAAAAGUUAGUAGUAUUAAGUUGGGAAUGAAUUGAGUUUUUCUUUCAAUAUUAAAUAAAAAAUUAAUCUUGUUCAAACCUUACUUUUCAACAUGGUUGACAAGUUUGGCACAAUUUCAAACCUUGUGUCAAAAAAAAACAUGGUUGACAAUUUCAAAUCCUAUCCAAAUAUCACAUGUGUAUAUAUAUUAGGUGCCAAACUAUAGGACAUAAUUCAUUCUACAUUCAACAAAGACAAACAUCUCUAAAACUCAUUCUUUGAUAUUAAUUCAAUCAUCAUCAUGGCAAAUCAACAUCCACCACUCUCUACAACUGCCAUCAUCAACCCUCAAUACUGUGCUCCAGGUAUCAACCUUGUUCUUGGGACAAUUUUUACUAAGUGAUUAUUAAAACCACUUUUCCUAAGUAUAUUUAUUUGUUUGUCUAUAAAAAGUGUUUUGUAAGUUGUAUCCAAACAUCCUUUUACCAUUUUCUUGGUUUAAAAAAUUUCAGCUACACAUGCUAUUGAUUUGAUAAUCACAAAGGAAAAGACUUUAAGAGAUAACUUCACUGUCAAAGACAUCAACGACAACAUCGUUUUCACCGUUAAAAGUUCACUUGUAACCUUUGUAACACCCCGCCAACACCGGUUCUUAUUUGAUGCUAACGGAAAUCCCAUUCUCCAUCUUCGUAGAUCGGUUAGUUCAUCAACUAUUAAAAAAUCACCCAAUUUUCUUUCUUACUAUAUUUUUCCCUUCUUGAUAAUUAGUACUCUCUCUGUGGAAUGAAAUGCACAAAAAAAUAAUUCAAAAAGUCAAAUAUAUAUAUUUGUUCUAAAAUUUAGACGGAAUAUAUAUUUGAAUUUUUGAAUUUUUAUAUAUUUCAUUUCAGAGAGGGAGUAUCGAGUUGUAACACGUAUAAAUGAUAGCAACUACUUUGUUUUUGCAGCUGCUAGCAGCUGAUGAUAGUUGGAAAGCAUAUAGAGGUGAAAGCUCAGAACCAAAGGAUCUUAUCUUUACUAGGAAGCGUUCUUCAUUAAUACAACUAAGGACCAAAUUAAAUGUGUUUUUGGCAAAUAAUAACACAGAAAUUUGUGACUUCACUGUCAAAGCAAAUUUAUCUGGAAAAUCUUGGAAUGUUCAUAUUGGUGAAUCCAACAAUGUUGUUGCUCAGGUUUAUUUUUUACUUAUUAUUACUAGUUUUAUGCAAAAAGAAAUGGUAGAAAAUUGAAUAUACCACUCUCAAAAUGGAAAAAAUAAAAUAAAAAAUAGACACUUCGGGUCCGUUUGAUCUGCAAAAUAUAAAUACUGGACAGAACAGUACAGGACGGUACAAGACAGAACAACACAAGACAAACGUUUAAGGUAUUGAACAAACUUUGUGUUGUACGAUGUUUGGUGAACAAAAGGUUAUUUUGGUAUUUUAGACAACUUGUGCUGAGGACAAAAAGUUGUCUCGUAGUUCUGUGGGGGACAAGAAUUUCAAGUUUUGUCCUGUCCCUUGGCCCCCAGUUUGUCCAGUACCAGGAACAGUUUUAAAAUCAAGCACAGUACAACAGGAGUUGUUCUGUCCAGUCCCUUAUUUUUUAGCAAAUCAAAAAUAAACUUAUAUUUAUUCUGUCAAAAAUAAACUUAUAUUCUGUCAAAAAUAAACUUAUAUUUAUUAUAUCUAAAAUUGUUAGUAUUGUUAUUAUUGCAGAUAAAUAAGAAGCAUGGCACUAUGGUUAGCAGGGAAAAGUUCAUGGUCACUGUGUACCCCAACAUUGAUUAUGCAUUCAUUGUGGCUCUAGUUGUGACCCUUGAUUAAGUUUUCUAUCUCUGCUUCUAGCCUAGUCAGGGUAGCCCUCAGGGCAGCCCUCGAGGAAGUGCUCUAGUUCAGAAGAUUCGGCAAAUAUUCGAGCUAGAUUGGAAGUUCGUUGUGCAUCAUUCCUAUCGUAAAGUCAACCAGCGUACUAAUGUCUUGGCUAAUAUUGAUUGUUCCUUGGCGGAUGGUAGCAGAUUCUUUGAGACUUCCUACUAAGUUGAGUCAUGUGUUGCUGAUGUUAUGGGAAUUACUACCCCGUGCUUAAUCUCGUUGUAGUUUUUUUUUUCUUUGGCCUUGUAAUAAAAUAAAAAUUAAGUUUUAGGUCUACAUUUUAUGAUGAGCUAAUGUAUGGAAACAUAUUGUCUCCCGUCAGAAUCACACACGGGAGGGAAUAAAGUGUGGAUCCACACCCUCCAUUUAUUUAUUUUAAUUAUUGAAACACAUGUAAAAAAUUAAUGAAUGGUUCGGAUUUGACUGAAUUCUUCAUUGACCGGAGAGGAUCCGGUCCCCUAAUGUACAUAUGGCAUCAGUUUCUUCAAAAUAUAUUUUUUGUUACUUUAAAUGUAAGGAUAUGAUCCCUCUAAACAUAAAAUAUAAACAACAACAACAACAAAAAAAGUAUUUUUGACAAAACCUUAAACUGUGACCAAAAUCCCUCAAUUAACUAAUAAAGACAACUCAAACACCUCAAAAUGCCUGCAGAUUGUUGUUGCUAAUACUAAUAACUAGAAAUACUAAGGAGCCACUUUUUUUGGACUUUAACCCUCCGGUUUUCAAGAUAAAGGAAUCUUAGUAAUCUGGAAUUAAGUGAAGAGAUAAAUAAAGUAUGACUAAAUGUUCUCUCGAACAAUUCGCCCUUACCUGAAGCACCAUGAACUCAACCACUUGGUUAAUUGGAGACGCUUAUUGAACAAGCAAAACACAUUAUAGUUUUGAAAAAGUAAGCUAGGGGUUGAUAAUUGUUUUAUAAAAUGAUUAAGAGUGAAAAUGACCAUCUAGACAUUUUCUAAGCAUAGGUCCAUACUAUACAAUAUACAUGUAUGCAUGUAGUAUUGUUACACAAAACUGACAACUUCAAUUGUCCUCCAAUCUUGGUUCAGAUGCACCUUGUUCAUUUGAAGGUGAUUGUUCUUGAGCUGGUGCACUAGUCUGCACUGGUUUUUUGAACUGCACUAAGAUCAUUGUCAUGUUAUCGCAUCCGUCACCAACAGCUAAUGAUGGCGCCAAACACCGGUCUAGCACUCUUUCACAAACCUCAGAAAGUUUGGUUUUCUGUGAGAUAAAAAGAUGGUAUCAUGUCAAAACCAUUUGUUACACAAAUCAGCUAAACUACAUUGAAAUAAUACUUUGAUUGCUGAUGACGAACAAAAAUGUAAAACAUGAACACUCACCAAGAGAAGUUCUUGACGUACAAAAUCUACCAAUUGUUGGCUUGACAAACAAUCCCUGGAAACGUAAGAAUAACAACUCAACUUACUCAAGAAUUUCCAAGAAAUGACAUUUAAACUAAAAUGGGAAUAUAAAGCAUAAGAAAUAAGAAUCAUACCAUAUGCCAUCACAAGCUAUCACCAUAAAUUCAUCUUCGUCAUGAAGGUCAACCUAUUAUAACAUGUCAAAACCAAAACUAUCAGUCAUAACAUUACUAAAAGUUGAAAACAUGUAGAAGUAGGAGUAGCAUAUACGAAGACUCUUGACUAAGCAUUUCAUUAUUGAUUCUACCAUAUUGGUAUUACGUAAUCUGAUUUGCAUGUGAGCCUUACAGUGUUUAUGUCUGGAUUGGCAGUCACAGCUUGUUUUUCAGCAGAAAGAAAUCUAUUAUUCUUAAAAUCCACGUCACCUGCAGAAUAUUGAAACGUGUUUAAUGGAAACUAUAGAAACCAUAUAAGCGUAUCUUCACAAAGCAGUUAUAUAUCUUGAAAUCUUCAAUUAUGCAAUUUGAAACCAAACAACAUGCAUGCAAGUUUACCCCCUCUUGCCUCCUAAGUAACCGAAAUAAAGCGUACAAAAUAGAAAUAAUAGUAAGAUUCCUUUUAUUUUUGGUGCACUAAAAUUAUCAUUUAUCUUAUUCAUAAAUUAAUGUAUUUGCCUAACUAAAGGCAGAGGGGAAUGUCACUUACUAAGGUUAAAACUGAAUAAAGGAAGCUCACUUGCCGGUAGGUCGGUAUAUACCUAUAGCUCUUGCAAGAUUUAAACUCCCGUUAACUCGUCCUGCAUGAAUAAAACCACCAGCUUUAUAUAUUCUUUCCUUCUCAAUCGCAAGUUCAGGUUUGUGGUCUCUAGAUAAAUUGUAUGCCUGUAGAACAAAAAUCCAUAGUCAGAAUAAAGUUAUGUCGUUAUCUUGAAGUUUCUACUUAACACAUAGCCUACAAAAUAAAAAGACCGAAAUAAAAGACCAAUAAUUUCCAUUUUGAAGUUACCUGACCGUUCCUAGAUAUUACGCAGCGUGAAUCACCAGCAUUUGCAACAAAAAGUAGGUUGUUUCGAAUGAUUGCGACACAGGCAGUACUUCCUGAAGUCGGUCCAUCAAAAUCAGAAUGAGGCCCCUGCUUACAAUGUAAAAAGAUCAAAUUAAUGAAUGCCAGAAACUAAGUAUAUCAAACGAAAGUUGUACGAAUGCUGAAAAUUGAGAAUUGAAGUAUACAUUCCACAUCAUCCCUACCUUCUCAAAGGUCCAAUCAUCAUCACUUUGGUCCUUAUUAUCGCCACUGCAUCUUGGAGACCGAAUCAAUCCUUCAAUCAUUCCAUUGAACCCUUUUACCUUAUCACCCAAGACUGCUAGUUCCCUCCAUCCCCUUUGACCACGCAUCAUCUCGUCCAUUCUGCAUAAUAACCAAAAAUGAUGUUCAUAACUCACUUUUUUAUUACUUUCAAAACAGUAUGAGAAAACCAUCCAUUAACGAGGAACUAGUGGUUACUUUUUCUUCUAUGAUAUCAAUUUCAACAGCAGACAAAUGAUGCAUGCAAGAUAAACUUCACAACAGGCUCUCUUUUUUUAGCUUACCUGAAAAAUGCUUUCUGAAGAGAUGUUCCAACAUCUCCAGCUAUGUAUUCUUCACUCUUGAGUACCUGUUGGUGAAGAUACUUGGCGCAAAACUUUGCAACCGCCUUACCUGAAAAUUUUGAAAUUUGUGUUAUAUGAGCACAUAUAACAUAUUGAUUACAAACACAUAAUUUCUGUAAUAUUCUCCUCUUUUCCUGGCUUGAAUCACUGACGUGCAUGAAUAACCAAACUUUAUUAAAAUUUUACCUCCAUGACCGUCAUAAACGCCAAAAAAAGAAGUGGAUGAAUCCACAUCAAGAUGUGCUGCAUGCUAGCAAAAUAAAACAAUGAUAGAAGUCAACUACAUAUCGAUGUUCAACUCAAGCAAUCUAAGAAACACAAAUACCAUGAAAUGAGUUCCAAAAUACAAAGUUAAAAGCAUCGUUAAUGGUACUAUACUAAACAUAAUUCAAUCAACACAAACAGCUCAUUUUCUCUAAUACACGUGAAUUGUUGAAUUUGUGAUUUCUGUGUCUAAAUCAAACCACACUCACCGCUAUUUAUAAUAUAACAUAGAAUAAAUUCCAGUUGGUAUGAUUUUCUAAUUGAAAUCCUAAUCUAUGAUUAUAAUCCAAAUAAUAAUUAAACAUAAAUGGAUUUGAUUCUAACAAGAAUAAAACAUAAAAUUACAUCUUCUUACCACCUAACAACAAUACCAUUUCCCAACUUCACACAUUCAGCAAAGCUCAACCAUGCAGAACACUAUAAUUGGAUCACAUAUAAUUGUUUCCACAAUACUACCAAAAUGAAUACUGACACGGACACGUGGACUCUAAAUAAACUUUGAAUAAACUUACAGUGUCAACUCUAAAAACAUGAAUACUGACACGGACACGACAUUGACACGUGGACACCGAUAAUAAUUUGAGAAAAUGACAUAAUUCAAAUGUAAUCAUAUGUGUCACCGCGUGUCCAACAUCAGGACACGCAGAGUGUUUGUGCUUCAUAAUAAGCUAAGAAAAAUCCAUUCACACACAAGACUUUCGAUUUCAUAAUAUUUUGAGUGAUUAAUUACUACUUACUGCAUCUUCCAUUGUUGCACGCCAUCCUUGCAUAGAUGAUAAUCCAUAUCUAAGCUGGUCAUUUUCACCAUCUUCAGAAAACUUUUCAGUUUUGGGAAUGCUUAGACUUGUUCCCAUUGCUACAUCCAAAUUAAAACAAAAACAAACAUUACUUUUACUUCUUCAAGCAUGAAAAGUAAAGAAAACUUAUACCAAAAAAUAUAAUACAAAACCAAACAUAACUUUUGCAAUUCUACUACAUAGGAACAAGUCUCAAGUCAAAGCAAGAGGAAUCAUGUAAUUUUUUUUGUUACCUUUCUGUUUUUUUCUCAAUGUCAGGGUUCAAGAAAAAAUAUUAAAAAACAAGGAAUUAAAAACUUGAAUAUAAAAUAUCAAAAUAAAAACAGACAAAGCAAGCAGAGUUAAAAAAUAUUAAAUAUUUAAAAAAUGGAAAUUUGUAAAAUUAAUAUUUUUUUUAAAAAAAUUAGAUGUUAAUUAGGCAAGGAAAUAUGUGAACAAUGAUGAAAAUGAAAAUAAAGAGAGAAGCAAUAAUUUUAGCUAAACAGAAUGUAGAAUUCAUAAUCAUGAAGAACAAGGAAGACCCAGAUGAGAAUAUGAGUAGUAAAUAAAAAAUAUGAGCUAAAAAUAUAAUUUUUUUAAAAAAAUUCUCACUUGAAAAUGGAGAGAAACUUUGUAAACAAACAAUUCAAGAAUACAAUAAAGAUUGGUUUUUUAUGAUUGAGGUGAAGGUGGAAUGAAGAAAUAAAUGAUGGGUUGAUAGGGAGGGUGAAGAAGUGUACCAAGACAUAAAAGAAGUAUGAUGAAAGAGAGAGAGUAGUUGGUAGAGAGAGAGAGAGAGAGAGUGGAGAAAACACAAGUAGUGUUGCCACUAGUGAUGAGUCAGAAUAAAGAAUGAAAAGGAGAAGACUUUCUGGUUUUUGUGACACAGAAAUUUCCACAACUUUGUUCAUCCACUCACUAACCACAACAUUUUCAUAAACAUUUUUUGUUCUUUUUAAUGAUAAAAAAUUAGUUUUGUUUGGUUCAAUUGUUUGUAUAUGGACACUCUCUUAUCUCUAGUCUCUAUAUAUAGAUACGUUUACAAUAAUGUUACAUGUUACCUGUAUGGAUAUGCAAUUUAUCAUUUCUUCUUUUAUUUAUUAUAAUAUAAUAUUAUUAGUGUUUUUUUGUCAUAAGUACUAAAUAAAUAUCUCUUCAUCCUUAAUUAGUAUUCAUUCUUGUCUUUUUCUAAAAGACGUUUAAUCUUUCUAGAUUCAUUGAAUAAUUAAUGUAUUUGGUCUAUAUUAUAGAUCAGAUACGUUAAUUAUUCAAUAUAUCUAGUUAGGUGAAGUGUCUUUUAUAAAAAAAGACCGAAGAAAAUACUUUUUAUUAUUUCCCAAUUCUUUAGUUUUUUCUAUUUUUUUUUCUUUUUUAUUUAAUUGAGAGACAUAAAUGAAAGAGAUUAUCCAAUUUGACUAAAUAUAUUUACUCAAAAAAAAUUUGACUCUAUUUAAUACCAUGUUUAAUAAUAUUAAUCUCUUUGAAAAAUAUAUUUUAAAAUAAAUUAAACUUUUAACUAUCUUUAUAAUAUUAAUUACUUUUUUUUGACAAAAUUAAUUACUCAUUUUUCUCUCAAUAUUUUAGUAUAUUUUUUCUACUUUUUCCUAUUUAUUAUAAUGGGGAGAAAUGAAAGGAAAAGAUUAUCCAAUUUGACUAAAUAUAUUUACUAAUUUAUUUUGACUAAAUGUUCAAUAAUAAUUAAUCUAUUUACAAAAAAAAUAAUAUUAAAAUACAUCACCCUUUAUGUAAUUAUUUUUUAUCAUUAAGUAAUAAGUAUUAAGAACGAAAAAAAAAAGUAUUUUUUUGUCUAUUAGGUGUCAGCUACUAAGAGUUUAGUCUUAUAUAUAACCUCAAAUGAUAAAGUUUAAAUCUAUUCGGAAAUAAUUCUAAAAUGAUUGUAGUAUUAUUUUAUGAGUCUUGCUAAUGAGUGUUUUUAUGAAACUUUUUAACAAUUUUAUUAUAAAAGAUUAAACAUUUCAAUUUAAAUACAUUGACUCCAUAUAUUUUUGUAAAAGUUUAUUAUUUAAAUUUUAAGAUCUUUAAAGAGCGUCUCAAACAUACCGAUUAACAUUUUCGUUAUUUUAUUAAUAUUGAUAAUUCCUUUUUUCCAUUCUAAUUUUUUUAUUUUAUUUUAAAAAUCUCAUGUCUAUAAUCAUAUACGAACAAGGGUCUUUUUUAGACCGAAGAAAAUAAUUUUUAUUAUUUCACAAUUUUUUAGUUUUUUCUAUUUUUUUUUAUUUAAUUGAGAGACAUAAAUGAAAGAUAUUAUCCAAUUUGACUAAAUAUAUUUACUCAAUUUUUUUUUUUGACUCUAUUUAAUACCAUGUUUAAUAAUAUUAAUCUCUUUGAAAAACAUAUUUUAAAAUAAAUUAAACUUUUAACUAUCUUUAUAAUAUUAAUUACUUUUUUUUGACAAAAUUAAUUACUCAUGAGUGGAAUUCAUUCUAUUGAGAGAAAAAUGAGUAAUUCAUAUUUUAGUAUAAAUAUUUUAAUAUUGAUAAUUCCUUUUUUCCAUUUUAUUUUUUAUUUUUAUUUUAAAAAUCUCAUGUCUAUAUACGAACAAGGGUAAUGUUUGAAGUUUGUUAGUACCCUUAAUCUUUGUCUCAUGAAAAUAAGAAAAACUUCCACAAAGAACACCUUGAGCAUCUAUGAGAACACUGAUGUCUUCUUUACGUUGCCAAAAUAAGCUUACGUACCCAAAAUGAAAGAGGUGUCUUUAUUUUAUAAACUUGUACUCCAUUCGUCUCAAAAUAAUUAUCACAAUUAAACAAUGUGUACUAUUUAUAUAAGUUACUUUGACCAUAAUUUUUUAUUAAUAUAUAAAGAUAAAUAUCAGCAUAUGAGAUUUUGUUAGAUUUGUCUCAAUGAGUAUUGUCAACGUGAAAGUGGACCUAGAACUACUACUAUGAACGUUUAACGCAUUAAAAUAUCUCAGUCACAUAUUUUUAAUCGGGUAGUUUUUAUCCUAAUACUCUCGCCGGCCGAUGGCUUUUCAAUGGAACAUUACUGUGGUGCACACGCGUAUGGAGAGCUAUAUAUACUCCACUGGUGCAGUGGAGUCAGAUACGCAUACUUACUUACAAAAAAUAUUUGUUUCACUCUCACUGACUUGAGCGUCGGAGAACCUGCAAGUACACAACCCUCUUCACUUCACCAGGGGUCGGAACGGAGCAACGCCAGACACGAUCACUCUUCUUAUCAGGUAAGAUCAGCUAAGCUAAUGCGUUAACUUCGCUAGAUCAUUCUAUUAAGUUUAUUUAUUCGAUCCCUAGUUAGAUUAGCAACGCUACUAUUUGUUGCCAAUAAUAAUUUAGGAAAUACCGUUAUCCACUCAAUAUUCACUUCAACUUUGUCAGUUCUCUCAGUUUCUUCUCUUUCUCUUUCUCUUUCACUUCUGAACCACACAAAAAUGGCUUCCAUGGCUGCUUUCUCCACAACCUUCUUCACACCUCUUCAAUAUAGAACAACUAACUCAACUACUUCUUUCCCUACUCUCAUCAAAUCCUCACUUGCUUCUUCCAAUUCAUCCUUUUUUCAACAUGCCUUUUCUCAACAAACCUCAUUCAACUCGAACAACAACAACCCUGUUUUCAAGUCUCGCUCUUUCUCAGUCAACGCUAGCGCUACCACUAAUAAAACCAUUUAUGAUUUCACCGUCAAGGUACCUACUAUCAUCUUCAAUUUUCAAUUUUGUAUGAGUCUUAGAGUAGAAAAUUUGUUUUUUGUUUAUUCAUUUUUAUUGUUGUCAUAAUUUGUUAUUACUAAUUAUAUACAGUUUUUUUAUUGGAUAAUUAUGUUUUUUUUUUUAAUUAUGAUUGGAUAAUUAUGUUAUUAUUAUGUGCUGUAGGAUAUUGAUAAGAAGGAUGUUAAUCUUAGCAAAUUUAAGGGGAAGGUUAUCUUGAUUGUCAAUGUUGCUUCAAGAUGGUAUGUUAUUAUUUUGUGAGAAUCUUAUCUUUUCCAAUUGUAAUGUUUAGGGAGUGGUUUAGGUAUGCUUAAACAUAUAGUUCUAAAUUGCGGUCGUAGGUGCAGCCGCAAUAUAAGGUUUUAGAAGGAGUUUAAUGGAUAUACUGACAAUAUAAAAUAAUUUUACACGGUCAUCCAAUAAGAAAUAAUCAAUUUGCCAUGUCAUACAACUAAUUUCAAAAUAACUUUGUGAUUUGGCGGAAUACAAGAUGCUUAUUGGAUGUCACCGUAAAACUAUUAUGCACCACUGUUGGUGCAUAUUCUAUUAUCUCUUUUAGAAGAUUCCACUUUGGUAUGGUAUCCUAACUAUAGUUUCGGCCGCAUUGGUUGCAUUUUUCCAUAUUUUACCACAAUAUCUAAGUUCGUGCAUAACUGCAACCGCAAUUUAGAACUAUUACAGUCCCAUUUCUCUUAUGUGAGACACUAAAUUCCCCUCAGUUGCAUACACCUCUAAAUUUGUUGUACAAAAAUUGAGUGAGUGUGUGGUAGUUAAACAGAACUGAGAUGAUGAAUUUGGUGUCAUUCAUUUAAAAAAAUUAGUGUGUAAGUCUUCAUUUUUUUAAAAAAAUAAAUAGAAGGGGUGUGUUCUAUUUAAGCAUACCUUAGGAGAGAUAAGUCAGUUUCUCCUAAUCAAAUACUAUUUGAAAAGGUCAAAUCGAAAGUUAUGUCAAAGUUUCUGGUAAGUUAUGAUUCUAUUGAAUGAUUUCUUUUAAAUGACAGCGGUUUGACAUCAUCAAACUACACAGAACUCUCGCACUUAUAUGAAAAUUUUAAAGACAGAGGUACGUUACUUAUGGACCAUAGUUAUGACUAUUGGCUACUACUUGAAAUUUGGAUCUGAAUCCAUCUAUCUACCUGUGCAAUUAUUCUGUUCUGUGUUGGAUCCUAUAUCUUGUAUAAGAUUAGAAGAGCAGUAUCCCUUCCUUUCCAUUGAAAUUCAGGCACAGCCGCACAGGUUAUUGGUAUUUUUAGAUGUGGAUGCUAACAUGUGAAUUAAGUUAACCAUCUGGGACAUGUUAUUGAUCGCUUUAAAAAUCAGAUCUCUAUUUAAAGUAUUUAUCCAUCAGACAAACAUUUCGCUAUCGGUCAUGGUUUUAAAAUGCACGUCCAUUUCAACCAACGGUGGUUGAGUCUAGCAGAAGGGGAUAGUCUCCCUAUUGCAACAAAACACAUUUUGAAUAUUUUCCGGAAGAGACACUCACAUUUAGAUUGUGCCUCAAACAGAAUUGACUCGUGUAUGAGGAUAUCCGAGGGAAACCUAAAACAUAAUGACUGUUUGUUUCAUUGUAUACUGCUUUAUCCAGUUUAUACAGACAACCUAUCUUUCUUCAUUUUCUUGUUUUUAUAGGAUUACACUGUUUGGAAAUUAGCUGAACAAAAAUGUGAGUUAAUGCAUUUUGAUUACAAUUAAAAUUUUGCGGUGGAAGAAUUCGCAAAAGGAUAGAAUGACUAUUGUAGCCAUCCAAUUUUUGUUCCAUGUCUGUAAUUAACAUAAAUAGCAUAUCAGGGUCACUAUAUGGUGGAACAUGAUCGAACUUUAGCCUUAGAUGCUUUUUUGUUGUAGGAAAAUUCAAAACUUUCCAAAGGAUUGAUUCGAAAUUAACUGAAAGUCAAUUUUCUACUUUGUUUCUCUUUGUACAUGGCUUUCAGAUUUUUAGUUCUAAAGUAAUUUUUUCAUCAGCCACACAUUUUUAGUGUCAUUAUGCAUUUUAUUUCCAGGUUUCGAGGUUCUAGCUUUCCCUUGCAAUCAAUUUGGCAUGCAGGAGCCUGGAUCAAAUGAAGAAAUUAAGCAAUUUGCUUGCACCAAGUUCAAAGCAGAAUUUCCAAUUUUCGAUAAGGUUUGAUAAUGUUUCUUCAUCCAGUAGUUUUGAAUAAAUUACAUGCGAGUAAACAACAUAAUGAAGUUGUGUAAAACAGGUUGAUGUAAAUGGACCAUUUACUGCUCCAGUAUACCAGUUUCUGAAAUCAAGUUCUGGAGGCUUUUUUGGUGAUCUUAUCAAGUGGAAUUUUGAGAAAUUCUUGGUUGAUAAAAAUGGUAAAGUUGUUGAAAGAUAUCCACCAACAACUUCUCCUUUUCAAAUUGAGGUACUUUACACUUUUGAUCCGAAUAAAAAAUCUAGUUUCAAUUUUUAUAAUGGCAAUGAAUAUUUUAACUAGUUAGGUACUUACGAAAAGUAUGCUUAUGUGUUUUUCUGAACAAUAUUGAAGGUGAGAGUAAUAGGUCUUAAGUGGUUGUGUAAUGUAGCUAGAAAGAAAAUGUUUUCUGCUGUAUGAAUUUUUAAAUGGUGUAUUUGAUAAUAUCGAGAAAUUUAGCACCGAAGAUUCAGUGUUGAAACUAUGUGGUGAAAGUUCCUGUGCUAAGAUUCAAUGUUUGAAAACUCUUGAGGGAAGUGUUUAUAUUUGUGAGUUCUCAAAGAAAGGCUUGUGAGUUGGGUUGGGAACAUGUAAUGCUAAAUAUUUGCUAGCCCUGCGUGAUAAUAGUUUCUUUUAGGACAGGUUUUUCUAGCACUUUUCUAGAACUCUAGGAGGGACUUUACUGGCUAUAACGUCGUCGGAAUCUUCCUUAUGCCAAAGAAAAACGAGCGAUGCUCCGAAUCCAGUCUCCAAGGGUUUAGACUCAAUUGUUCAAUUGGGUACACACUGUCAUUGAGGUUCCAUAACCUCUGUGUAUGGAUAUCUCUAUGCUGUGUUUGAAAGAGUUUUAUAUAAGCUUAUUUUACAACAUAAACACUUGUGUAAGUGUUUGAGAUCCAUAAGCUAUGUUUAGCUUAUUUCAAUAAGCUCCGUAGGAUAACUUAUGAAAAUAGCUUAUGACUUAUAUGAGAUGUAUAACUACAUUCUUUCUUUGCUUAUAGAAAUAGCUCAAACAUAAGUUGCUUAAUUAAGCUGAUUAUUCAAAUGCACCCAUUUUUUUUCCAACUUAUAUGAAGCACUAUAUUAUACCAUUUUCCACUCUACUAGUUUCUGAUGUAAAUUGCCAUUGGUUUGUUGAGUUGCUUAUAAGUAUUUGUAGCAAAGUCGGCAGAUGAAAUUCUAUAAAACAAGGUGAGUCAAUGUCAAUGAUGAGUCCGGAUUUGCUCCAUUUACCAAGCUCCGUUUCCUGUCCAUUAUGAGAGAGAUGACACAAGUGAUACUAUUUCACUAUUUCUGUAUAUUUGAUACUAUGAAUUUGCAAAACUACAUACUUGUAUAUUUUAUGCCUAAUCUGGUCUUUCCUGUUUCGUAUUUUUUCAGAAGGAUAUCCAGAAGUUACUUGCUGCGUAACCAAAAUCCGAGCCACGCUGGCUUCCUCAACGAGUUGAAGUUGAUGACAAACAAUGAACAUAAUUAUUUUGUAAAUCAUUUGGUGUCUUCACUAAAUUAUUAUCAGUAUACUACAGAGAAGUGAAAAAAAUGUUCUUUGCUUUAUAGCUCAAAAGGGAAAGAGUUCCAUAAAUGGCCAGAAUUUUCAUUAAACUUCAGACCUUAAAUUUUUUAACAUUAUUUCACUUUCCUUCAACAUUUGAAUAUAACUUAGAAAUGUAAAAUUUGUCGAUGGUUUGAUUAAGUAUAUAAAAUUGUUGUACUUAACACUUUUCAGCAAGAAACAAAUGCAGUAUUUAAUAGCAUAAUCUCGAUAUUGAUUUUUUUAAGCCGGACAGGAAAUAGCUCCAUCCCCAGUUAUAGCAAUGGACCACAUAGUGCCUACAAGUCAACAAGUUACAUACUCUCUAUCUUAUUAUAAGUGUCGAGUCAAAAAAAAGUGUAUUACUAUCUUUAAAAAAAAAAAAGUGUUGAGUCAAAAACAUCUUAUUAUGAUUGUUUUGCUUAAAAUAUUUUGUAUUGAACUGAUUAUCACUUUAAAUUAUAGAUAUUCUAUUUAGAGUAAUGUUAUUUCGAUACAAAAUUUUUAUUUUUAUUUAACGGUGACUAAUAAUUUGUAAGACUUUUCGAUCUACCAACCAUUUAGUUAAAAGUUGGGCAAACCAUUGGUACUUGAAUGCGUUAAAAUUGUAAAUACAUCUCUAGUAUCUCUUUUGUUAGUAAUUUUUUAAAUUAAAUUGAUUAACGAAAAAUACAUUUGAGGGACAAAUUAACUACUAAAAAUAGAUUUUAGGUUUUCUUAUAAAAAAUAUAGAUUUGAGGAUGAAAAUAAUUAAUGAAAGAGACUUUUAUGAACCAAAUUAAGGGUUUGGUAAAAAAAAUAGCGGAUAACUGAUAAACUAGCUUAUAGCGGUUAGCUUAUAAGCUAACUUUUAGCUUAUGACGAAUAAACUAGCUGAUUGAAUUUGUAGUGUUCGAUAAUAUUAGCAGUUGAACUAGCUUAUAAGUAUGAAAUCACAAAAAAAAAUAUGUUUAAUUAAUAUUUAAUUUUUUUCAAGUAGGACGAUAUGGGUAAAAUUAGGAAAAAAUAUGAUAAGCUAUAAGUUAUAAACUCUUAAGCUACUUAAAAUAACAUUUACAAAAUAAGUUAUAAGCUCAUUUUUAAAAAUGUUACCGAACAAAACUUUUCACUUAUAAGCUAACUUAUUGCUCUUGCCACAUAGCUAACUCAUGUGACAGUGAGAUAUGCUUCUAGAAACCGUGUUGUUUGCCCUUAAAAUUUGAGGCCAUAAAGAACAAGUUGCAAAACUUUGAAUAGAAAACCUACACUCCCUCCCAAAUUCAACGAUCUCUUCUUAAGUGUUCAAGUCAAACCAAAUCUUCCAAUUUCAUCUCAUCACCUCCAUCUCCAGAUCCAUUUCCUCUCAAUCCAAAAAAAACAUGACCAAACACAAAACAUAAACCAAACAUCAAACUCAACCAUGUCAACUCAACAAGAUUCACCUACCCCAACAACAACAAAGAAAACCAAAAAUCCAUUCUUAUCAAUCAUAACAGAACCAAUAGAAUGGCUAUCAAUGCUAUCACAUCACCUAAACCCAUCAUUCAUAGCAGGAAUAUUCCUUAUAUAUGGUAUAGGACAAGGUUUCACAGGUUCACUCUUCAAACUAGUCUCAGAUUAUUACUGGAAAGACAUACAAAAAAUUCAACCUUCAACGGUUCAGCUUUAUGUUGGAAUAUAUUUCAUUCCAUGGAUUCUAAAACCCAUCUGGGGUAUUCUAACAGAUGCUUUUCCGAUAUUGGGUUAUCGGCGCAGGCCUUAUUUUGUAAUUGCUGGAGUUAUUGGAAUGGUGUCUGCCUCUAUUGUGGCCCUGGGAGGAAACAUUGCGGCUGCGGCGGCUUUGAUGUGUUUUCUUGGUGUGUCUGCUAGUCUUGCUAUUGCUGAUGUUACUAUUGAUGCUUGUAUUGCAAGGAAUAGUAUUGAGGUUCCUGGUUUGGCUCCUGAUUUGCAGACUUUGUGUGGGUUUUGUUCUAGUUCUGGUGCUCUUAUUGGGUUUCUUGUUAGUGGUUUCUUUGUUCAUCAUCUUGGUCCACAGGUAUGGGUGUGUUUUUUUUGUUUAAUGAAGAAAUGAAUAAACAAUGGAAGUUUCAAGAUUUGUUUUUUUCUUUCUGUUUUUGACCUGUUUUGUAGUAUGUUGUAUUUAUUGUGAUUAUAAAUUUAUAAGAAUUGUCAUUAUCAACACUUUGGUCAAUUUGGUCCUUUGCAUUUGGCAUAUUGAUAAUGUGGGAACUAGGUUGGUAUACCCUGUGAAAUAGAAUCUAAUUCAAAUGAUAGAUACGUGGCGUGGGAUGGGUAGGUUAACUGGUUGAACUAAGUGUUAAAGGAAUCAGAGGUCUAGGGUUCAAGUCCUGGUGUAAAAAACUAACAUAACAAUUAACAUACUAACAAUUUGCCAUUAAAAAAAAAAAAGAUAGAUAUGUCUGAGAUGUAAUUUAUUUAUGUCCUAGAUACCUUAUACUUUAAUGACUAAUAAUGAAUAGAAUGUUUCUGUUGUUAUUUUAGGGGUCACUUGGUCUUAUGGCAAUAUUUCCUGCUUUAACAAUUGUUCUUGGUUUUGUGAUCUAUGAUAAGAAAAUCACUGGCUUGCAUAAUGAAAAGAAGCAGGUUAGGAAACUUUCUACCUAUUUUCCAUAUCAUAAGCCUAUUUGCACAAAGUGAAAAUGUUCUGUGAUAAGUUUUGUUUUCUUCUCUUAAUGCUAAAUUGGAUGACUAAAUACAUUUUGUAGGGGGCAAUGGAGAGUGUAGGAAAGACAAUAAGAAGCAUGUACAAAACAAUAAAGUAUCCUCAAGCAUGGAAGCCUUCUCUUUACAUGUUGCUUUCGCUUUCUCUUAAUGUUACCACUCAUGAAGGCCAUUUUUACUGGUAUACUGAUGCAAAAGCCGGUCCUGCAUUCUCUCAGGUAUGUACCUCUCACAUUUCUAUAACAAAAGAUAAAAUAAAUUCAAUUUAUUUUCAUAUAAGCUAUAAGUUAAUUAUUUUCAUAAGUUAUGCUGUAGAGCUUAUAGAAUUAAGGUGAAAAGAACUUAUGAACAUGUCAGAUAAAUAGAUUCUUCGCCAUUAGUUGUCAUUGCAGUUAAGAUCUCAGCUGUUGAUAAAUAUCAGGGACCGAUUUACCGAACUUAUUUUAUAUUCAAUUGCGUAGAUUAGCUAAGUGCAGUGACUAAUGGAAUUUCCCACUGCAGGCAAUCUCAGUCUCAUAUUUUGUUUGCAGAUGAUUAGCGACUGUUUGGAUAGAAUUAUGAGCUUAUUUAUUGGCAUAAGCACUUGUCGACACUGUUUGAGAGAGUUUAUAGAAACAACUUAUGGCAUGUCCAUAAGCUGUUAUAAGCUUAUAUCGUUAACAUCUCCGAUAUAGCUUAUGAAAAUAAUUUGACUUUAGUUUAUCUUUUGUAGUAGAAAUAGUUUAUACACAAACACUUAUAUCAUAAGAGUUUAUGCUACAAGCGCUUAAUUAAAUUGUUUGUCCACACAGAACCUAAACAAAUGACAGUUUUUCCAAAACCAUUCCUUUAUCUUAUAGAGUUUCUUUGCAUAUGCAGGAGUUUGUUGGAGUAAUCUAUGCAAUUGGUGCAGUGGCUUCAAUAAUAGGAGUUCUAAUUUACCACAAGUAUCUAAAAAGCUACACAUUUAGAAACUUAAUAUUCUAUGCACAACUCUUAUAUGCAACAUCAGGUGUAUUAGACUUAUUCUUCGUCCUACGUUGGAAUUUGAAAAUUGGAAUCCCUGACUCCUUUUUUGUUGUCAUUGAAGAAACUGCAUUAAGAAUCACAGGCAAAUUAAGGUGGAUGCCAAUGAUGGUCCUUAGCACAAAACUAUGUCCUAUAGGAAUUGAAGGAACAUUUUUUGCUCUAUUAAUGUGUAUUGAUAGCAUUGGUGUCCUUAUAUCCAAAUGGGGUGGAGGGUUACUACUUCGUUUCGUUCAUGUUACUAGAACUGAUUUUAGUAAACUAUGGUUGGCUGUUCUUAUUAGGGACAUUCUUAGAUUUGUUACACUUGUUUUGGUUUUUCUUGUCCCUAAUGUAGGACCUUAUGAAGGGUUGCUUCCUUCUGAGGUUUGUGAAAUGAAUAAGAGUGAUGUAAAUGUUGAUGAAGAAACCUUGGAGCUUGUUCCUAUGAAUGGGAAUAUUAAAGUUUAGAGUAAUUUUGUUAUGUUACACAGUUAACCACUACAUGGAGUUCUCUAUGAUGAUGAACAAUAAAGAACUUGAAUUUCCAAAAUAAUAUCACAUGUCCAUAAAAGUUGUUUAUCUAAAAAUAAUAUUAGAACACCAAAACAACAUUACAGUACAAAAAAUAAAAACAACUUGAAGUUCCGUUAACUAUAAUUAGGGAAGAAAACUGGCGCCUAAAAAUGUCAACAGAUGUGGAGUCAGAUAGAAUUAGUUGCUUACCAGAUGAUAUAGUAGAUCAGAUUCUGUUUCACUUGCCAAUUACCGACGUAUUGAGAACAACAUUACAUCCGGUCCUUCCACUCCUUAGAAAUUUAUUCACUAUGUUUAGAUCUUUGAUAAAAGUCUCACUCCAAGACUUGUCUUACAAUCUUCUAAAACAUAAACCACACCACUUUCUUAUACAACACUCUUAACACCAACAACUUUGAUGUUUAAGAAAUAAUACAACAAGAAUAGAAUAAGUUUAUGUAUAAUUCACUUCUUGCAAAUUCAAAGUGAUAUGAGAAUUUGAUCUUCCUUUACUAAAACUCACACAAAAUUAUGAGUUACACAUACACAUUGUAAGGUCUUAAAUUCAAACCUAAAUAAAAACAUCCAACUUAACAAAAUCUAUAUUGUCAACCAUAAAACUUGUGAAUUCUUCCUCCUAUUUUUUAUCUCCAUCAACUACAUACAUUUUAAAAAUACACAAUACGUCAUUAAUUACUAAUUUACUAUAUACAUAAAAUAUAAAAUUAUUUUGCACAUACAAUUAAUAAUAUGUUGUCACGUAAAUUAAUUAAUUAAAAUACAUAACAAGUCAUAUGAUUUCAAAUUCAUUACUUCAUUAAUAAAAGUAUUACACAUACUUAAUUUUUAUUUUUUUAUAAGAACUUAAUUAAAUUGUAUUAUUAUUAUUAUCUUUAAUUUAAUUUUAGAAAAAUUAGGAGAGAAAAAUAAAAGGGAGAAUAAGUUUGAGCAAAAAGUCGAAAUUGCCACUAUAGAAGGUCUACGAGUCUUUUGUCUUGCUUGAUACUACGAGUGAAGAAGUGGCCACAACAAACAAGAGAUUCAUAGCGUCUUUCUGAGUUUUGAUUAUUCUUCUUCUUCUUUUGUUAUGGUAAGAGAUUUCGUUCACCGAUUCCAAUUUCGUUUAUUUCCUCUCUCAAAUUAGGUCUAUCUUCUUCUUCUUCUUCUUCAUUCAAGCUAAUAAUCUAAUUUUACAGGCUAAUAAUCGCCACACGAUUAUUCUAAUUCAAACUUCUCAGAAUAGAGCAACUAGAACAUUCAAGGAUUUUGACUCAGUAACUCAAGCUAUGGACGGUAAUUAAUAAUCGAUAAUACUACUACUUUACUUGUUUUUGAUUUCACUGUACUCAUGAUUUAGGUUUUGCUUAUUUUUCUGUUUUUAUGUGCAAUUUCAUCAAUAAAAUAGCUGCAGUUUUUCUUUUUUAAUUUUAUUGAUUAGCUAUAAAGCACCGACUUAGAUACUGAACACAACACUGACACUUAGACACUAGCAAUAAUCUGAGGGAAUGAAAGUGAUCGAAUAUAACCAGAUGGUUUGAUGUCGGACACUGACACAUGUUAGACACAAGACAUGGCUUCAAUCUGAUGCAACAUAGUAACAUAUAUGUAACAUAGCUGAUGAGUGCUCUUUUUGGGGGUAGAGUCCCGUGUGUGUGUGUAUGUAACAUAUGAAUUUAAUUAGGUUUCACACAACUGUCAAUGGAUUGUUAGGAUUUGGAUGGACGGUGAUUUCAUUAUGAAACCUAAUCAAAUUCAUAUGUUAGUCUUUAGGUUUGCUAUUGCAUUCAUGAACAAGUAAUUCACCGAAUAAAUGCGGGGGGAAAAAGUAUCUGAUGAAUUAAUAUUGAUCUGCUAAAGAAUUUUAUGCAUGAUUUUUUUGUCGUUUUUGUUUCUGUCGUCUUGCUUCCUUUCUACCCAAGCACUUGAUCAUUUUCCAUUAGAUUUUCUUUCUCUAUUUCCCUUUGAGCAUUUUCCUUGUAAUAUUUUGGUUUUAACUGUGACUUUGGGAUAGUGAAUUUUGACAUAGGAAGAAUGAAUGGUGUAGUUGAUCAAAGGUGCAUUAGCAUCAAGAAUAUAUGACUUUCAUUAAUUUGGGCAUAAUGUAGGGUGCCUAGAAAAAUUGGAAUAGGUUUAUGACAACGCAAAUAAGAAGAACAAUUAUGGAAAGCCUCGAGAACUGUAGUUGUGUUAUAGUUAGAGGUGGAGGAAAGCCUCGAGAAACUGUGGGUUAAACUGUCAAAAAUGGUUUUUUAAGCUGUUUUCUUUAGACAUGAUUUAUGAUUGGGUGUUAAUAGUUUAGUUUGAUCUAUGUAGUUGACCCACCUAGUUAGAAAAUCCUUGUCGUUUUUCUUACUUUGAUAUUGAAAGUGUUCUUAAUUAUUGCAGAAGCUCAAAGCCUUGUUAUAUAUUUAUAAUGCUUUCUUUUUGGAUGGAUCGUAAAUGAUGAGAUUUAUUAAUUAUGGAAGCAGAUUGUUGUAUCCUUGACCGUGUAAUGCAAUAAAACCUUGGGUGUGAUUCCAAAGUUUCUUUUGUUUUUAUAUACCGUCUUAAUUUUAUACUCUGUCGAAACCUAUUUUUCCUUGGCAGACAACUAAAUUCAACACAUCAAAAGACUCAUUAAACCUUUUUAGAAACUUCUCUAAAACCCAUUAAACACGGGUACUAAUUCUGACAGGCAGCAACCUUACCAACCAUAUAACCCCCUCCAAUUGCCUUAACUCCCCCUUAACAUCACGUACAUAACAAAUGAACAAUCGAUCACCUGUUUUGAAUGCAAUCGUGAUUUGUGAUCAUUAAAACCCUAACCACUUUUAGUCAAAAACAAAAAAAAAAACCUAACCAAUUUGCUGCUUACAUCAAUAGUGUUUGUCUGUUAAAAUGAAACAGGAUAUUGUAUAUGAUGUAUAUUUUGCAUCUCUAGUCAAUCAUAAUUUUAGAUAUUUUUGCAAGGUGUUUUGGAUUUAUAUAUAGAAUAUACUUUGUCUUAUUCUUAUGAUAAAGUUGGAUUCUCAGUUGUCCUUGUUUAAAUUUUAUGAUGUUUUGCUGAAUGAGGUGAUUGAGUCUCAUCAUGUCCAUCAACUACCGUGCUUUGUGUAUUGGACAAUCCAUAAAUUGUGUUUUUUUGGUGAGUGAGUAAGGACUGUGGCAAUUUAUGACAGUCUAUAGGAAAGAUUGAACAUCAAACAUACUGUAUCGAUAUGUGGAUAAUUUGAUGAUUGAUCUUCUUAGUGACAUAGGACAGUACAUUUGAAUAAUAUCUUCUAGGUUAUUAGUUAACAAGGGAAAAUAGUGUGUCACUGCCACUGUGCUCCAUAAUGCGUCACAUAUGGAUUCAUCUUCCUGAUCCUGGAAUAUGCUAUACCGUUAUUCCAAUUUUGGGGCCGACUACUAAGUGCCUCUAUCCGGGAUUUGCAACCUAUAUAAUUCUCGUAUUAUAUUUUUUUAUGAUGAUUUGUAUGUAUUAAUUAUCAGCGUUAAAUAGUGGUUUUAAUCCUGUGCUUUUACAGGCAUAUGUGCAAUGUAUGAAAGGAAACUGAAGGAGUUGAAUCCGGCCAUCAGAAACCUCUCUUAUGAUAUUACGGAUCUCUACAACUUCAUAGAUGGUCUUGCAGACCUGAGUGCUCUAGUGUAUGUCUCUCUCUCUCUCUCUCUCUCUCUCUCUCUCUCAAAUCUAUGCAUAGGUCUUUAAUACAGUCAAAUAUAUAUGAUUUGUCAGUGUUUUAUGAUUUUCAAAAAAAGAAAAUAUUAUACUGUGAAAAGAGAAGAGAAAAAAUAGAUGGUAGAGAAAAAGUGAGGUGAAAGAGCAUGUACUGAUGAUUUGAGCUUUUCAUGGUUCAAGAAUAAGAUUUUUUUAUUCAGCAGUUGCUUGAUCAUAUCUUGUUGAAUUUGUAGUAGAUAUAUGAUCUGUCUGUAUAUUCUGAUUUUUUUUUUUAAAAGUAAAAUUUUAUUCAGUGAAAAGAAAAGAAGCAAAAAUAAAUUGUAGAGAAAAGGCAAGAGAAGAUAUACUGAUGAUUUGUGCGUUCCAUGAUUCAAAAAUAAGUUUUUUUAUUCAGUAAUUGCUUGCUUAUUUUUUCAAAGAGUUUGAUGCUGAACUAGAAAUAUAUGGCUCUGUUUGAACACUGCAAUCUAGAUCAAGGAAAAUAGAAAUUUAACUGUCUCUCUGUUGGUGAAACUAAUGUAGAUUGACAUUAUUUUUCUCCUUGAAUCAAAUGAAAAUUAAGAUUAUGGGUGAGAAAAUUGUUAGUAAUUAUGAGUCUGAAAGAGGUCUUAAACCCUUGAUAGAGUGAAGUGUUGGAGUAAAAGUGUCACUGGUUUGUAACUCCCUUUAUUUACUCCCUCUCUGCAUGCCCCUUUUUUUACCGAGUGUUAAAAGACUUAAUAAAUAAUCAUUUGCUGUAUCAUAUGUUUACCUUAUCAGUUCUGUGUCUCUUUUAUAUAUUGGGCUUUCUUUGUACAUGUUUGGUUUGCCUUGGCAUUGAUUAAGGACUGGCUGAUUGGUUUCUUACUUGCAGUUUUGAUAGUACAUCUCAUGCUUACUUCCCCUAUGAUCGAGAGUGGAUCAAGCAACAAACCUAUCAUCGUUUGAAGAAAUUGGCACAUUGACUGAUCCCCAAAGUUUUAGCAAUUAAAUGUAAAGAAAAUUACCAAGGGAAGAAGAAAUUGUCCGUUAUGUGGGCUAUACUCAGAUGGCUAUGUUGCUUGAUAUGAUGAUUAUUGCACAUACUGUCAGUGAAUUUUUAUAUAAUAUAUAUCAAUAGCUAGUACUACCAAAGUUUAAGAAACAAUGAUCAUGAGAUUCAUGGCAUGGCUUAGUUUAUCCUUGUCAAGUGUUCUAUGGCUAGCAGAUUUGGCCUUGUUAAAAAAAUCUUCAUCUUGUACUAAUAGUAAGUUGCACUGUUUAUUUACCUAAUCUAUGGCUAUUAUCUAUAACUAACAAGGUCGUGCAAAUGCUAGUUAUUAUCUAACAUGAUUAAUAUUUGAUGAAAUGGAGGUGGAUUGAGUAUAAUUGAGGUAGUAAUUGCAUGUAGAAAAUCAAGGUUUAAAAUAUGUCUCACCUUUGUCUUUCCUUACUUUCCUUAAAUUCCAUGUAUUGGUCAAACUACUAGGAUUCUAUGUUUCCCAACUCCUAAAAUACAGAGAAGUUACUUUUGCCACCCUACUAUUUUCCAAACAUUGUCUGCUACUUAAGCAGCGGAUGGCAUUUUCCCCUAAAAUUUCUCAUUUUAUAACAUCCGCUACUUAAGUAGCGGAUGAGUAAAAAUAAGGCGCGCGAGAAACACUUAGGACGGCAAAAGUAACUAAAAAAACAGGGCUUUUAUAUAGACCAAUUAAGUUUGAGACAAAUAGUUGGACUUUCCAUUUACAUCACUAUGACUUGUGUUGAGUUGAAAUUCUGAAUUCUGCUAUUGAUAAAAUUAUACAAAUUUUAUCAUUAAAAAAUUUAAUUGAUAUUCAUGAGUCUAACAUGUUUUCAUUAGCUCAUCCAUUCUUAAAAGUCAUUUAGUCUAACAUGUGUUGCUAGAUUCUAAGUCUAACGCAGUCAUGACACAAUUAUAUUUAUAUUAGAUUCUACAUCUCCAUGAAUAUCAAUUACGUAUUCUGCUUAUAGUAAUAGCAACUUGCAUGCCAUGAGGUGGCUACACACCAACUACCCUUUUAUUUGUUUAUUUUAUUUAUAAAAAGGUUGAUAUUACAGCACAUAUUUAACAACCAACAUAAUUGUUUAUAGAAUAGUAAGUACUAGUAAUGAAAUAUUUGGAAUAAAAUUUGACCCAAUAAUACCAUGAUGUGUUUUAAAUUGAAAUAUACUAGUAUAUCCCUUUUUUUUUUUGCUAUAAUAUAUGUUCUUAUUUAAUCACGUUUGUUUAGAAAAACUUUGCCGUUAAUUUUAGUUAUGCGCUCUUGACUUUUAUUAUACAAUUACAUUUUGCAUUUUUUCCAAAAGAUAUUCUAAUCAACUAUCAAAUGAUUAAAUAUUGGAGGGGGAGUUUCCUCGAGUUAUCCAUGGUUAGAAGCCACACUUGAAACUUGAAAUGUGGCACUAAAUUGGAAAUUAUUAUAAAACAUAAAUUAGUUGGAGAAAAUGGUGAUAAAGUGGCACAAUAUUGGAAUGGAGUGCUAAGACCAUUAUUCUACUGCCUCUCCUCUCUUAUCAUCUCUCAAUUUUCUCUCUUUUCUAUUCUCUUUCCACUCAUAUUUUUCCAGCUAAUAUUAAUAUAGUAUGAUUCAAGUUGGAACAUUUUGGUACUCCUUUAUUUUAGCCUUUAUCAUUAGCCAAAACAAAAUCAUUUCGUGUACACCACUGUAGUACCGAAUUUUAUUCUUUUCUAUAUAUAAUCAACCAUGAAGAAUUCAUACAUUAUAAAAAUAUACAAUGUCUCCGAAUUCCACAUUUAAAUGUGUGAGAGUCUAGUCACUAAACUACUUGACAAAAAAAUAUAUAUACUAUCUUCAUUUUCUUUUCUCCUAAACAAAAUAAUACUGCACAACAAAAAGAGAGUAAAUGUGGAAAAACAAGCAAAAUAUGUUCCAUCUAUGCCUUUCUUCGCAUAUCAUAUCACAAGAGAAAGGGAAAAGGGUGCGUUUUCUAGCCUUUCUUCUUUCUUUCUCUGCUCCUCCAAACUCUCUCUUCUCAAACUCUUUCGCCCCUAUUUCUCUUGAAACAAACAUAGGCUAAGUCUACUAUAUCGAAUGAACUUUAAAUCCAACUCACUGAACUUUUUAUUAGAAAAAUAAAUACAUAAAACAAUCUAGGAAUUUUUUUUUCUACCCCAACAAUUUUCACUCUACCUCAACAAUUGGAAUUGAAAUGACAAAUAUGCCCUCGUAUAUAAUGUGAAACUGUAAAUAAAAAAUCAUUCUUUACCCCACUCAAAGAAAGUGUACCGGUGUGAGUUUGCCGAAAUAAAGAAAGUAAGUGUAAUUUUACAUACCGAUACACUUUUUUGAAGUGUGCUGGUUUGAUUUAUUUACCAAUACACUUUUUUCAAGUUUGCCGGUAUGAAUAUUCACAUCGGUACACUUUUAUGUGAGUUUACCGGUAUGCAUAUUCAUACUGGUACACUUUCAUAUGAGUGUACCGGUACAAAUGAGUAUUUUGAAAAAUAUAUUGGGAUAGAGUGAAACGUGUCGAGGUAGAAUUUUUAUUUUUCCAAUACUAGUACCAUCAAGUUGUCAUCCAUUAUCCAUGAUGGGCACACAAAACUCCAAAACAAAAUGAAGUUAUCAUAUCUAUUACUAAUAUAUUAAAAUCGAUUACCACUAAAACUAUUAAUUUAUUAUUAUUACUUUUAACAACAUUGCAAGUUUUAUAUCUUUCAUUGUAAUUUUAUUAAAAAUAUAAGAUAAAUACAAAAAAAAUGCUUAAAAAUAAAAACAAAACAGAUUAUUGAUUGGAACAAAAUUUCACUGAAAAAAAUAUAUAGAAAGAAUAUAAGAUAAAUACAAAAAAAUAUAUAUAUUAGAAAGAAUACAAGAUAAAUACAAAAAAAAAAUUAAAAAUAGAAACAAAACAGAUUAUAGAUUGGAACAAAACAGAAAGCCAACAAAAUUUACUAAAUUACCCUAGAUAUUCUUAAUCAAAUUUCUAUUUUUUUUUAUUAUAGUAAAAAAUAUACACGAGACCAUUAUUUAUCAUUGAUACAUCGAAAAUUGGAUAAAUAUUUGUCAUUGAUAAUUUAGUCAUUUAAUAAGUUUUACAAUAAAUUACACAAUAGUUUUGCUUAUAUUUAAACAAUAUUAUAUAACAAAUUUUUAAAUAUUUUAUUAUAAAUAAUUUUUUACCUUAAUAUAACGACAAAUUUAAAUAUCGAUUAAGAAUCAUUAGACCCGUGCGAAUGCACAAGUUGUAAAAAAAAACUCUUCCGCACAUAGUAAUAGAAUCUAAUAAUACUACCCACCCCAUUUUACUGUAUAUUUUUGGAUAAAAAAACGUUAUUCAAA
rnacentral:lncRNA from 1 species